rnacentral:lncRNA from 1 species
UUAUCCUCACACCCACAAGAAGGUUCAAGAUAAACACAUAUUACACCACAAUGAAAAUAUGUUUAUAAACAUGCACAUACAUUGAACGCAAGUUGACAAACAAAUUAGCCUAGAGGAAGCAUAGUUUUGACCAUCUUAACAAUCAUCUAGAAUACACAAGUCACAAAAAGAUAAGGACUAUUGAUUACUAUGAGAGACUUCAGCUGGUCCAGAACACACAAGUUUGUAUCUACAUGCACAAAGUGCAAGCUCCAAAACACUUGAAACACCAAAUGGUCUACCAGACAAUAAGGUCCAUGAUUACAGGUUGGUUGGUCCAUAAACGCUAAAGAGUCAUCAUGUCCAUGUGCAUCAAUAGGUUGAGUACCUGAAAACAUUUUGCAUAAAUUUGUCAAGAAAGUGGAACCAGAUCAAGUUGUUAAAAUAUCAUAUGCGUAUUAAAAAUAUUCGAUCAAAAGAUUAUCAUGAUAUCAUAGUUAACAAUGAACUAUGAUCUAGUGCUUGUAGUUUUAUCAACAAUGAAUGCAUUGAGCAUAUUAAACAAAGAUUGUCAUGACAUCAUAGUUAACAAUAUUGUUUCUAUGUAGUUACUAGUCGAUUGCCCCUGCGUUGCCACGGAAUAUAAAAAAUGAUUGUUGUGUGUGCUCACUAGUCAAGUCCAACAUAGACGGAAUUCAUGUUUAUAUGGUGGAAACCACUCGUGUCGUCCUUCCAUGCCCUCCCUCUCUCAUAAUCACUAUGCACACAUGAUUUGCCCUUUGUAAUUUUUGAAUGCAUGUGUCGCAUAUGAUUUACAGUUGUGUUGCGACAAAUAUUACCUUGGGUUUCCUUCCUUCAUACAAUGAUCACCACACACCCCUUAUGUCUCUUUUCUUGCAGUCACGUAAACAUAAUGCAUGAGAAAAUUCUUGUCUACACCAAACAUAGUCUGAUUGUAUUCAAACAUUAUUAUUUUUUUGUUUCCAACUGAAAUGGGUUUUCAGGAAGCUAUUCUUGGAAAUCGGAUGCCUGGAAGAAAGUAAGGUCACAACUACUGUAUUUGGCUUCAUAUUUAUGGACACCUUAAGAUAUUCUGGUACAAU